UACGUAGGAGGCAAGCGUUGUCCGGAAUUACUGGGCGUAAAGCGCGUGUAGGUGGUGGGACAAGUCUGCUGUGAAAGCGCCUGGCUUAACCGGGCGAGGUCGGCGGAAACUGGUCGCACUCGAGGACGGUAGGAGGGGGUGGAAUUCCCGGGUGUAGUGGUGAAAUGCGUAGAGAUCGGGAGGAACACCUGUGGUGAAGGCGGCCCCCUGGGCCGGCCCUGACACUGAGACGCGAAGGCGUGGGGAGCGAACGGG
rnacentral:rRNA from 1 species